CCUACGAGGGGCAGCCGUGAUGACUCUUGGUCAAUGGACGAGAGUCUGAACCAGCCAAGUAGCGUGAAGGAUGACUGCCCUAUGGGUUGUACACUUCUUUUAUAUGGGAAUAACAUGUUCCACGUUUGGGAUUUUGUAUGUACCAUAUGAAUAAGGAUCGGCUAACUCCGUGCCAGCAGCCGCAGUAAUAAGGAGGAUCCGAGCGUUAUACGGAUUUAUUGGGGUUAGAGGGAGCGUAGGUGGAUUGUUAAGUCAGUUGUGAAAGUUUGCGGCUCAACCGUAAAAUUGCAGUUGAAACUGGCAGUCUUGAGUACAGUAGAGGUGGGCGGAAUUCGUGGUGUAGCGGUGAAAUGCUUAGAUAUCACGAAGAACUCCGAGUGCGAAGGCAGCUCACUGGACUGCAACGGACACUGAGGCUCGAAAGUGUGGGUAUCAAACAGGAGUAGAUACCCGGGUAGUC
rnacentral:rRNA from 1 species